rnacentral:rRNA from 1 species
GAUGAACGCUGGCGGCGUGCCUAAUACAUGCAAGUCGAGCGAACGGACGAGAAGCUUGCUUUUCUGAUGUUAGCGGCGGACGGGUGAGUAACACGUGGAUAACCUACCUAUAAGACUGGGAUAACUUCGGGAAACCGGAGCUAAUACCGGAUAAUAUUUUGAACCGCAUGGUUCAAAAGUGAAAGACGGUUUUGCUGUCACUUAUAGAUGGAUCCGCGCUGCAUUAGCUAGUUGGUAAGGUAACGGCUUACCAAGGCAACGAUGCAUAGCCGACCUGAGAGGGUGAUCGGCCACACUGGAACUGAGACACGGUCCAGACUCCUACGGGAGGCAGCAGUAGGGAAUCUUCCGCAAUGGGCGAAAGCCUGACGGAGCAACGCCGCGUGAGUGAUGAAGGUCUUCGGAUCGUAAAACUCUGUUAUUAGGGAAGAACAUAAGUGUAAGUAACUGUGCACGUCUUGACGGUACCUAAUCAGAAAGCCACGGCUAACUACGUG